rnacentral:rRNA from 1 species
UACGAAGGGGGCUAGCGUUGCUCGGAAUGACUGGGCGUAAAGGGCGCGUAGGCGGCUGUGACAGUCAGAUGUGAAAAUUCCUGGGCUCAACCUGGGGGCUGCAUUUGAUACGUAGAUGGCUGGAGUGGGGAAGAGGGUCGUGGAAUUACCCAGUGUAGAGGUGAAAUUCGUAGAUAAUUGGGAAGAACACCGGUGGCGAAGGC